ACUACGGGGUGCAGCAGUGGGGAAUAUUGCACAAUGGGGGAAACCCUGAUGCAGCGACGCCGCGUGAGUGAAGAAGUAUUUCGGUAUGUAAAGCUCUAUCAGCAGGGAAGAAAAUGACGGUACCUGACUAAGAAGCCCCGGCUAACUACGUGCCAGCAGCCGCGGGAAUACGUAGGGGGCCAGCGUUAUCCGGAUUGACUGGGUGUAAAGGGAGCGUAGACGGCCAGACAAGUCAGAUGUGAAAGCCCAGGGCUCAACCCUUGGACUGCUUUUGAAAACGCCGGGCUGGAGUGCAGGAGAGGUAAGCGGAAUUCCUAGUGUAGCGGUGAAAUGCGUAGAUAUUAGGAGGAACACCAGUGGCGAAGGCGGCUUACUGGACUGUAACUGACGUUGAGGCUCGAAAGCGUGGGGAGCAAACAGGAUUAGAUACCCGAGUAGUC
rnacentral:rRNA from 1 species